GUAGGUUUCAACAUUGAAAUAAGGGGGGAGGGGAUUGAUUUAAAAAGUCUCAAUAUAUUUUGUGGACGAUUGUCUUAAAAAUUGAUAAGACUUAGUUAAAAGCAUCUCGAAGUUUUUUUGAAAUCACUUUGUGUGCAUGUGUAGUAGUCACUGUAGAUGAUACUAUUCGGGUUAUUGUUCACAUGUAGAAUAGUACAGUACUGCCAAGUUGACCAGGGGGGGGGGGCGGAGAUAUAAAAGAAAUGGGGGAGAGAUUAAAAAAAUAUCACUAUAUGUUUGGUAGACGAUUAUAUUAGAAAUUAAGAAAACUUAGAUGGCAGCAGCUCGAAGUUAUUUGAAAUCAUGUUAUGUGCGGCACAAUAGCUGUGGGCGGGGGGAG